rnacentral:rRNA from 1 species
GACGAACGCUGGCGGCGUGCCUAACACAUGCAAGUCGAACGGAGUACCUUCGGGUACUUAGUGGCGAACGGGUGAGUAACGCGUGAGAAACCUGCCUUUCAGUGGGGGACAACAGUUGGAAACGACUGCUAAUACCGCAUAACAUCUUCUGGGGACAUCCCCUAAAGAUCAAAGCUUUAUGUGCUGGAAGAUGGCCUCGCGUCUGAUUAGCUAGUUGGUGAGGUAACGGCCCACCAAGGCGACGAUCAGUAGCCGGUCUGAGAGGGUGAACGGCCACACUGGAACUGAGACACGGUCCAG